rnacentral:rRNA from 1 species
GUCGUACGCAUCUUGGCUAUUGAAGGUUGGUGCUUGCAUCAACUAGAUUUAACAUUAAGAUGAGUGGCGAACUGGUGAGUAACACGUGGGUAACCUGCCUCGAAGCAGGGGAUAACAUUUGGAAACAAGUGCUAAUACCGUAUAACAACUCAAACCACAUGGUUUGAGUUUGAAAGAUGGUUUCGGCUAUCACUUCGAGAUGGACCCGCGGCGUAUUAGCUAGUUGGUAAGGUAAUGGCUUACCAAGGCGAUGAUACGUAGCCGACCUGAGAGGGUAAUCGGCCACAUUGGGACUGAGACACGGCCCAAACUCCUACGGGAGGCAGCAGUAGGGAAUCUUCCACAAUGGACGCAAGUCUGAUGGAGCAAUGCCGCGUGAGUGAAGAAGGGUUUCGGCUCGUAAAACUCUGUUGUUGGAGAAGAACAGGUGUUAGAGUAACUGUUAACAUCUUGACGGUAUCCAACCAGAAAGCCACGGCUAACUACGUGCCAGCAGCCGCGGUAAUACGUAGGUGGCAAGCGUUGUCCGGAUUUAUUGGGCGUAAAGAGAGCGCAGGCGGUUUUUUAAGUCUGAUGUGAAAGCCUUCGGCUUAACCGGAGAAGUGCAUCGGAAACUGGAAGACUUGAGUGCAGAAAAGGACAGUGGAACUCCAUGUGUAGCGGUGAAAUGCGUAGAUAUAUGGAAGAACACCAGUGGCGCAGGCGGCUGUCUGGUCUGUAACUGACGCUGAGGCUCGAAAGCAUGGGUAGCAAACAGGAUUAGAUACCCUGGUAGUCCAUGCCGUAAACGAUGAGUGCUAAGUGUUGGAGGGUUUCCGCCCUUCAGUGCUGCAGCUAACGCAUUAAGCACUCCGCCU